AGUGUCACAGAGAACAAACCGCCCGGCGGGCAACCGUCAGGUAAGGGUGAAAAGGUGGGGUAAGAGCCCACCGCGCCGCUGGUGACAGCGGUGGCACGAAAAACCCCAUCCGGUGCAAGGCAAAAUAGGAGACUGGGCGGCCCGUCCAUUAGUCUCGGGUAUGCCGCAUCCGCCUACGCUCCACGCGAGUGGAGCUACGGCGCGACAAGUUCGCCGCGAGGCGGGCGUUGAGAGAAAUGACAGUCGAACCCCGACUUGGUCGGGGGGAACAGAAUCCGGCUUACCGGCCCCAAAACUAG
rnacentral:RNase_P_RNA from 1 species